UGGAAAUAUUAUCCGAAGCCAACAUACAUCAUACAUCCAUGAUCCCAACAUUCGGAUAUCGAAAAUUUCAAUAAUAUCCAUAUAUUCAAUUCCUGAGGUAAUAUUCUGUCGAUUAAACCAUGUAUUGAACAAAUUGGAUUUAAAAGCAUUCUAUUACACUUAGGCCUCAGACUUUUAUCCGAGAUCCAGAUUCGAUCUGAGAUCUGAUCCGAAAAUUCAGAUAUUCGGAGAGGCCAAAUCCAGAUCCGGAUAGUAAAUUGUUAGAUCCGUCAAAACUGAAUCCGGAUCUGGAUAUCUUGAAUUUUUAGUCCGGAUAUCUGGAUCCGUAAAUUUUAUUAAUAAUUAUUUUAAAAAUGGUAAUAUCUAUAUAUAAAAACUAAUUUUAUUUAAUAAUUUUUCAUUUUUAUAAUAGUAUAUAUAAAUUUUAUGUAAAUUUUAUAAUAUUAUACAUAGAAAUAAUUAAAAACAUUAUAUAGAUUUUUAUUUUUACAUUAUUGUUAAUAUUUUAUAUAUAUUAGUAUUAUUUUUUAUUUAUUUUAAGGAUCCAAAUCUGAAUCUGGAUAUCUACCAGAUAUUAUGAUUUUUAGAAGAAUAUUUGACACUUAAGUAUUCGUGAAUCCCGGAUCCGAAUAAAGAUAGUAAAAUUAUGGAUCCAUCGGAUAAGGAUCCGAACAUCUUAAAAUUGUUCGGGUACCCGAUCCGUUUCAAGCCUAAUUACACUUCAUUGUAUGGCUACAGUGAUAUAAAUCUAUUGUUUGGGCACAUUUGAAUACUCCAAAGUCUAUUGCAUUUGAAUACUCCAAAGUCUAUUCGUAGACUGUACGUCCAUUAGAAAUUAAUCUUAAUUCUUCUACCGCCCUGAGAUACUCAGAAUUUAUAAAAAAAAAUAUAUAUCGGUUAAAUCAAAUCAUAAAUUUUUUACUUUCUUGUCUUUCUCUUCUUCUCAGGAUAAUAUUAUAUUCAAUAAGCUGAGUAACUGUUCCUUUAUUUGAUCAUGCACGUGCUCUUCCACAUGGAAAACAUGGUACACCUCACAAAUAAGUAAUGUUUCUCUUUUUUUUUUUUAUGUUUCUCAUAUUCUAUUAUGUAUUGGACUCAGAUUAUGAGAAAACAAAGCAUAGCCAACAUCAUCGUCAGUAACAAAAACGGUUGAAAAAUGGCAUUCAGUGUUGUUCUUAUAUUGGGUUGUCUCUAAAUGUUAUCGUCUGCAUUAUUACGGCUUUUAGUUGUUUUUUCUUUCAUAUUUUUAUUUCCCUUCAGCUUCAAGCCAUAUUCAUUGUUGUAACUUUAAGCUAAUACAUUGGUUCAAGGCAUCUAGAUCUGUUUUACAUAGUCUAUAAUAAGUUAUAAGAAAUGUGCUUACAUAGUUACAUUAGUUCUAUAUGGACAGUUGUAAUGUAACGCAUGUGAUAUGCAUGCUUGUGUGUCGUUUCGCAUAAUACAUCUUGAGAAAUAUAAGAAUUGAAUAUCCAUUGCAUCAGCAGUUGUUUAUAUAAUUAUAUAUAUGCAUGUUAUCAUGGUCAAGAUGUGACGUGCCGACCUGUUGAUGUUUCCGUAACAAGUUUUUAUCGCUAGAUACCAAUAUAUGAGCUGAAGGCACGCUCUUAUUUUGAAACUUUAUCUUGUUCACGAUAUGUAUAUACUUGGAAGAAACUAAAUUGUAAGAAAAUUCCCGGUAAGUCCAUCCGAUAUAUGAUAGCGAUUCUACUAAUUAAUGGUUAUAUUACUCAAAACUUGAACGGUUAUAAAUGACUUUCAAAUUAGUUUUACCAAAAUGGUAAAACUAAUCAAAGCUUAUCCAUCGUGAUUUGACUUUGAAUUUGCAAGCCCUCACCGACUACCACCGACAUAGACGUAUCCAUUCUAUAAAUUGAACCCAAAUCCCUUAACUUGAUCCGAGAGCAUAGCAAAUACAUCACAACAGUACACAUAUAACAGAAGAAGAAAAAUGUCGUAUGAAUGUCGUGGGAAGAACUCAUGGCCGGAGCUUGUGGGGACAAAUGGAGAUUAUGCGGCUUUGGUGAUAGAAAGAGAGAACACGAGAGUCGAUGCAAUCGUGAUUUUGGAUGGAACUCCAGUGACUGCAGACUUCAGGUGUGACCGGGUCAGGGUUAGGGUUGAUAAAAAUCGUAUCGUCGUCAAAGUCCCUAUCGCCGGCUAGUUGGAUACGGACCGGGCUGUUACUAUGUCUAUAUAAUAUGGAUAAAAUAAAACUUUAAAGUGCAUGGUUUUUGGUUGGUCAUGAUGUAAGUUAUAUAUCUUUUGCAGUUUUGCGUGAAUAAUUUCGGAGAAUAUACAACUCAUGAUGUAAGUUAUAUAUCGUU